rnacentral:lncRNA from 1 species
CAAUAAAUUACAUGAUUCAUGAUAUUCACCAAGUUCAUCUAAAAUGACUUGAUUAUUGAAUAUUACAUUUUACCAAACAAGUUGCUUUUCACAAACGCCCAAGUAUACUGUAAAAAUUCAGCCAAUAACAUUUCUGGGAACCAUUAUAUCUUCCAAUUCCAUCGUUAGCUUUGGCAAUGGAGGCCAUCGAGUUGUAAGCUCUGUAGAAACCUGUCGCAUUGUUGGCCGAUAGUGAGGAUCAGUCUGCAAGCAAGCAAACGCCAGUUUUGCAACAUGUGCCACACCGUCCGCAAGCUCGUUUUCAGGAGGUGGGAGGCGCUGGUCUAAGACAUCCUUCAAGACUGUAUUGUGACCAAUUGGUGAUGAUGAGGAGGUGGAGGCAGAUAACAUCAGAGAUGAUAUGAAAUCGCCAGGAUGCUUUCCCAUCAUUACUUCCAAUGUUAAUACUCCAAAGCUAUACACAUCACAAUUUUCAUCCACUUUCAUUGUGUAUGCCAACUCUGCAAAAGAGGCUGGUCAUGCUAUAUGUUGCUAAAAUAAUUAACUGCACCUAUUUUGUUUUCAAGUGAUUCUGUAAACUAACCUAUUGUAGAAGGUGAUAUUGAAACUUAACUACAUACCUGGAGCUGUGUACCCAAAGGUGCCAGCAAAUGAUGUCCAAUUGGACGAGUCAGGCAUUAGGAGCCUGGCUGUGCCGAAGUCAGAGACAUGAGCCUCGUAUUCUGAAUCCAAAAGAACAUUAUUGCUGGAAAUGUCUCUAUGAAUAAUCGGAGCACAGAGCAGUCAUGGUGCAUGUAGGAUAAAGCAUUGGCUACGCCUUUGAUAAGAUUCAUCCUUUUAUCCCAAUCCAUCUUUCCUGCUUGUUCCUCGUCGUUCAGUACCUUUCUUAAACUUCCCCUUUCCACAAAUUCAUAUACCAAAAAUGAGUGUUUGGCAUGCGAGCAGAAACCAUACAGCUUCACAAUGUUUCGAUGCCGUAUACCCAUGAAGACAUCAAUCUCGCUUCUAAAAGCUUUCAAGCUGCUCAUCUCAACUUCUGGUGUUUGGUGGAAUUUCUUCACGGCGAGGACUUGUUCUGAUGGAAGUACAGCUUUGUAUACAACUCCAUAGCCUCCGGUACCAAUGCAAUAUUUGGAGUCGAAUUCCUCAGUAGCCUCUACGAUGUCCUCGUAGCGCAAAUCCCCACCAGGGCACCAUCUCGCGGUAACAUCUCUUUGUGGUGUUUCCACUAACCUUUUCUUUCUUCUGCUUUGGAAAAAGAUAAGAAAACCUACAAUGAGGCCCAACAAACUACCCAGCAGAGAAAAUACCGUCAAAAAGACAACUUUGGGGCCCACAGUUUUGUUUUUUAUAAGAGCAGAACAAGCCUCCAAACCAGUUGCAUUGCCACACAGGUUGGUGUUGUUGCGAAUUGCUUCAAAUGGUGCCUCGCGAAAGGCUUUGAUGUCAGGAAUGGGGCCCUCUAACUUGUUAUAGGAUACAUCCACUUUAGUGAGGCCUUGCAGUCUACUAAAACUAGUUGGAAUUCGACCAGACAGCAUAUUAUGGGAGAGGUUUAAAACCUCUAGCCGCUGCAGCUGUCCAAGCUCUGGCGCUAUAUCUCCCAUCAGGGAAUUCCAACUGAGAUCAAGACUUUGAAGAGACUGUAAAGACCCCAUCUCGGCAGGAAUACUCCCUGUGAAUCUAUUCUUGCUGAUAUUCAAGAAUAUCAGUUUUGAGCACUCGCCAAGCUGUUUAAGAAUUGUUGCACUAAAAUUGUUCGCGGCCAGGCCAAGCUUUUCGAGAUUAGAUAACGAUGCGACAUCGAAAGGAAUAUCACCUGAAAGGCUGUUAUCGUUGAGUGCAAGUUCAAUCAACUUCAAAUUUCUGAAUUCUUUGGGAAUUCUACCAACUAGUUGAUUUGACGAGAGGUGAAGAACUUGUAGAUGAGUUGCCUUUCCAAGAGCUGCUGGUAUCUCUCCAGAAAUCUUGUUACCAGAAAUCUUGAAGGCCGUUAGAUUGUUAAACUGCUCCCAUUUCAAUGAAAGUUCACCUUGCAAUUCAUUAUCACUCAAAUCCAUGUAGUUCAAAUAAGGAUGUGUGCCAAAAGCUUCAGAUAUGUUUCCACUAAGUUGGUUUCUCUCAAGUCUGAGUCUCAACAAGCUGCUGCAGUUUCUCAAGCUUUUCGGGAUAGGUCCCGUGAAAUAAUUUUGAUCUGCAGCAAAAAAUCUAAGCAAUCCACCAAGGCACACAUCUCGUGGUAGAUUUCCAUAAAAUCUAUUAGAAUAUAUUUGUAAAAAAGACAAAUGUGUAAGGUUGUUCAUUUCUGGAGGAAUGGGACCAAAAAGAUUGUUAUCGGCAAGGUCAAGUGCAGAUAAGUUUCUUAAAUUAUUUAAAGAUAUCGGUAUUGUACCAGUUAGUUUAUUAAAUGACAAAUUUAAAAUGGUGAGAGAUCUCGUCAGGUUUCCAAUAAAAGUAAUGGGACCAGAAAAAUUGUUAUUCCGAAGGUCAAGUUUAGAUAAGCUUCUUAAAUUUUCUAAAGAUGCUGGUAUUGUACCUGUUAGUUUAUUAGAUGACAAAGCUAAAAUAGUGAGAGAUCUCGACAGGUUUCCAAUAAAAGUAAUGGGACCAGAAAGAUUGUUGUUUGCAAGGUCAAGUUUAGAUAAGCUUCUUAAAUUUCCUAAAGAUGUCGGUAUUGUAUCGGUUAGUUUAUUAGAUGACAAACCUAAACCAGUGAGAGUUCUCGUCAAGUUUUCAAUAAAAGUAAUGGGACCAGAAAAACUGUUAUCCCAAAGUAUAAGUUCGGAUAAACUUCUUAAAUUUCCUAAAGAUUUUGGUAUUGUACCGGUUAAUUUAUUAGAUGACAAAUCUAAAAUAAUGAGAGAUCUCGACAGGUUUCCAAUAAAAGUAAUGGGACCAAAAAGAUUGUUGUCUGCAAGGUAAAGUUUAGAUAAGCUUCUUAAAUUUCCUAAAGAUGUCGGUAUUGUACCGGUUAAUUUAUUAAAUGACAAAGCUAAACCAGUGAGAGUUCUCGUCAAGUUUCCAAUAAAAGUAAUUGGACCAGAAAGACUGUUAUUCCAAAGCAAAAGUUCAGAUAAGCUUUUUAAAUUUUCUAAUGUCGGUAUUGUUCCGGUUAGUUUAUUACAUGACAAAGCUAAAGUAGUGAGAGAUACUAAAUUUCCAAUUUCUGGUGGAAUGUUGCCAGAAAUGCUAUUGUAAGACAAGUCAAGGAUGGAGAGGUUAGAAAGGUUACCUAUAUGUGAAGGAAUGGACCCAUAGAGCGAGUUGUUGUCAAGGGUAAGCUCAAUCAAGUUAUGAAAGGAAGAGAAUCUGAAACGAUUAAGCGUACCUCUCAAACUAGAAUCGGACAGACUUAUGUUGCUGACACUACCAGACUUGUCGCAGCUGAUUCCGAACCAGCUGCAAGGACUGUCUCCAGCCCAAGAAGACAGGAGAGACUGGCUUUGGUUGUCAAGAGUGACUUUCCAUUCUAGAAGAACUUCCGCUUCCUUCCUUCCAUUUGCUACUUCAGCAAAAGAAGCGAAGAAGGAAGCAUAAGCAAGUAAGGAAAAAACCAAAAAAGGUGUGGAAAAGAGAAAGAUGUGGGAAGCCAUGGCCUUGGUGGUUUACUUUCUUAAAAAGGAUGUAUAAAAUGAUUUGCCCCGCAUACGUAUAUAUAUGGGAAAGAAAUGAUAGAUUUUCGAGUAAGAUUCGGUGGAGAUGGAUUUUGAUUUUGAAAAAUUUGAAGGUAUUAAUUUUGAAUAUUUUUUUUAUCAAGUCUUAAUUUGUUUUUAAUUUUAUCUUUGGAUCCUAAUCUUGAUUUUUUAUUUUUUUUUCAAAUUUGAUACUCAAUCUCUUGAUUUUUUUUUGUUUUGGAUUCUUUUAUUAAUUUGAUUUUUAUUUUUAAUUUUACCUCUUAAUUAAAAAUUUUAGGCUGUCAUCUUUCUUUUUUUUUCAAAUUAGGUUCUUAUUUUUUUAAUUAUUAUUUUUUUAUCCUUUUAUAUAAUUAAAUUUUUUAUUUAUUUCACUAGUCAACAUUUUAUUUAUUAAUUAGGGAGGUGGUCUUAAUAAUGUUUCUCAAAGCUUUUAGACUUGGCUCGGGAGUCGAUUCGAGGCAAGUACCGAGUCACAAGUCAGGUGGGUUAACUUUAGUUUACCCAAGUCAAUCAAAUCUUUUUAUUUUAUAAAAAAAGUUAAAAUGCAAUCAUUUUAAAAAAAUAAAAAAAAUAAGAAAAUAGUUAAUGAAUUAACCAAAUCAACCAAUUUUUUUAUUUUCUUUUUAUGAUGUUAAGUCAUGAAUUUUCUUUAUUAAAAAUAUAUUGACAUUGUUUUAACAUCAUUUUUUUUAUGUUACAAAAAAGUCAGUUCACUAUAAAAAGAAACUCGUGCCACCUUUCGAGGAAGACAGAUCAAUGAAAGGUGGAGGGCUGGAGGCAGAGGAAGCCACCCAGCCAGUCAGCAUCUUCGUUAGGAGGAGCAUGUGUAGACUAAUUUAAAUUGUUAUUCCAACAUUUAUGUUGAUGGAAUAUUUAAUUGCGUGAUAGCAGGAGCAUGUGUACUAGGCUAGAAGGUAAAUGAAGUAUUUGUUACGAUUAUUAGAAUAUUUAUGUUGGAAUUAGAAUAUAUGUUCACUUUAUCUCUAAGGUGAGUAAAUCAUAUAUAUAUAUAUUGUUUCUAGAAAACGGUUACAGAAGAAGAGGAAAUCAGCUGUGAACAGAUUCUAGAGCUAGGCAGUUAUAAUAAAUCACGUAACAGACCUUCUAGCCUUGGUUCAUCAGGGUUUUAGCUAUGGAUCCAUUCUCGGAUGAUUUUUUUAUGAAAUAUAAGAGAAGUAUUAUUUUGCUGCUUAAUAAGAUUAUUAUAUUCUAUGAUUAAAAAAAAAAACGAAAUCUGAAUAUUAUUAAGAGAUGAAGACUAUUGUAUACUCCCAUUCCUUGACUUGAUCAUUAAUCAAGAUGGAAUAUUCAAUUGCGUUUUAGAAGGAGUAUGUAUAAAGUUAUAAACUAAUAUAAAUUGUCAUUCUAGAAGAGAAAUGAAGUAUUUGUCACAAUUAUUUGAAUACGGACUCAUUCUGACAACUUUUUUUUAAUGAAGUACAGAGAUAUAUUAUUUUGCACCAUUAUGUGGUUCAAAAAAUUAUUAUAUUCCAUGAUUAAAAAAAAUAUAUGAGCCUCUGCACUGGGUGAUCAUCCUUCAAUGCAAUUUUAUAUUAUUUUCUUGCUAAUUAUUUUAUAUUAUUUUCCUACAAAUUUUACAUAAUAUUAUUGCACUUGUUCUAGAACCAGCUAACAUGAACUGUAAGGCCACUACGGCACAAGCAAAAUCUGAAGAAGAAUGAACACCAAAGAUAGCAAUCCACUGUCCCCCAUAUUCUAUAGAGUUAACUUUGAAGUUGUUAUCAUUCCAUAAGACUAAAACACCACCGGAUUUCCCAACAGCAUCUAUAGAAGCCCAUCUAAUAUCCUGUUAUUUCUAAAGAAAGUUGACAAAUUUUUCAAUGCCCGCCUAGUAUUCUCCCAUCCCGAUAUCACAAUAAUCUUUAAAAAUUCAAAUUUUAAAAAGAAUAGAUUUUUAACAUUUUAUUUUUUGAUAAAAAAAUAUCUUGUUUAAGAAGUCGUCAUCUAAUAUUAUAAUCACUAAAAACCCUAACUGGUCAAUAAAGAUUUUAUAAUACGAAACUGGUUAAGCAAAAAAGAAGAUAUUAUCAUUCUUUAAACAUUCUACUUAAGGUAGGUUGUAUUACUUGUUUUGUCUUGAAUUGCUAAAAGAUUUUAUAAUACGAAACUGGUUAAGCAAAAAAAAAGAUUUUGUUUCAUUAUAAAUGCACGCGUAAGACUGUCCCCCAUAUUCUUUGGAGUCAACUUUGAAGUUGUUAUCAUUCCAUAAGACUAAAACACCUCCAGAUUACCCAACAGCAUCUAUAGAAGUCCAUCUAAUAUCCUGUUAUUUCUAUAGAAAGUUGACAAAUUUUUCGGUGCAAGCUGCCCACCUAGUGGGAUCGCGACCAACUUUAAUAAUUUAAUUUUUUAAAAAAAAAUACGAGACUCUGCAUUGGGUGAUCAUCCUUCAACCAUUUUAAUUUAUAUUAUUUUCUUGUUUUUUCUCCUAGUUUUUCAUUUCUUGUGUUAAACAACAAAUCCAACUCUUUAUCUCCCUUAAUUACCCUAAUUAUUUUAGGUUUUAUCUAUGAUGUAAAAUCCAAACUUUACAAUUAAUAUAGCCAGCUUGUAUCCCACCAUUCCAUGACUCCUGAUUAUUAAGAGAUGAAGACUAUUUGUAUACUCCCAAUCCUUGACUUGGAUAUUAAGUUAGUUUAGAUUCUCAUAAAUUUGAAAUUUUAAAGUAGGAUCUUUUUUAUAUACCGGUCAUGAAUCUAGAAAUUAGAUUGUUAUAAAUUAAGUGCGUUUUAGGAGGAGUAUUUGUAAACUAAUUUAAAUUGCAAUUCUAAAAGGAAAAUAAAGUAUUUUUCAUGAUUAUUAGAAUACUUGUUUUAGGGUUUCAGCUAUGAACCCAUUCUGAUAACUUCUUUUUUUUAUGAAAUACAGAGAUAUAUUAUUUUGCACCAUUAUGUGCUUCAAAAAAAUUAUUAUAUUCCAUGAUUAAAAAAAUGUCAGACUCUGCAUUGGGUGAUCAUCCUUCAAUGCAUUUCUAAUUAUUUUUACUAACUGUGCUAUUUCAAAAUAAACAUUUAUAUAAAAAGGCAGAAAAUUUAAUUUCGUUUUGAGAGGUGUAGACUAGGGGUAUGAGUGUUACUCUUGCAUAAAAGUUUGUACCAGGUGGCAAGUUUCUUUUGGACAGGUACAAGUAAGAAGAUUGAAUAUUCAAUUGCGUCCUAAGAGCGGUUGAACAGUACUAUCAACGAAGAUUGAAUAUUCAAUUGCGUACUAAGCGGGGUUGAACUUCGUUUUCUUCUUCUUGUUUUUUUUUUUUUUGGUAAUAAUCGAAUUUUAAUAAAAAGAAGCUAAAUAGCUCGAUGUGCAAGCUCUUUGAAACGAUACUGACAGUCCUUCCACUGCUAUAUCAAAAUUUAACUAUAAUCAACAUUAAACUUUCUUAUUUCUUCAAUUAACAUCCUGAUAACUCCAAGUUCAAAUAAAUCCCAAUACUAAUUAAUUCAUCAAUUAAACUUUUAAUUUCACAAAUUAGAUUAAUCCAAAAUUUAAUUAAAUUUUCAAACUUUCAAUUUAUCAUCUUAACUCAAAUUUCAAUUUAUUCUAUUUUCAUUUUUUUCAUCGUCAUUUUUAUUAUUUUUAUAUAAAGUAAGAAAAAUAUGAAGAUUUGUGUUAGGUACUAUUUAUUAUUUCUUUCUUUAGACGUGACAAAUGAUGUUAUUUGAUCUUUCAGGACGAGUUUGGUUUGAUUGUGGAAAUUUUGUUCAUCAUUAUUGUACGGUCUUUGUGUUGGAAUUUGGAUUGUUUAUUACUCUCCAAAAAAAAUAUGUAGUAGAAAGGAAAUUGAUACAAAUGAAGGCAAUAAAUUACAUGAUUCAUGACAUUCACCAAGUUCAUCUAAAAUGAUGCUUUGGACGGAAUAUCUAACAUAGACUUGAUUAUUAUAUUUUGCCAAACAAGUUGCUUUUCACAAACGCCCAAGUAUACUGUAAAAAUUCAGCCAAUAACAUUUCUGUGAACCAUUAUAUCUUCCAAUUCCAUCGUGGAGAAUAGCUUUGGCCAUCAAGUUGUAAGCUCUGUAGAAACGUGUCGCAUUGUUGGCCGAUAAUGGGGAUCGGUCUGCAAGCAAGCAAACACCAGUUUUGCAACAUGUGCCACACCGUCAGCAAGUUUGUUUUCAGGAGGUGGGAGGCGCCGGUCUAAGACAUCCUUCAAGACUGUAUUGUGACCAAUUGGUGAUGAUGAGGAGGUGGAAGCAGAUAACAUCAGAGAUGAGAUGAAAUCGCCAGGAUUCUUUCCCAUCAUUACUUCCAAUGUUAAUACUCCAAAGCUAUAAACAUCAUAUUUUUCAUCCACUUUCAUUGUGUAUGCCAACUCUAAAGAGACUGUAAAGACUUUGAAUAGACUGUAAAGACCCCAUCUCAGCAGGAAUACUCCCUGUCAAUCUAUUCUUGUUGAUAUUCAAGAAUAUCAGUUUUGAGCACUUACCAAGCUGUUUAAGAAUUGUUCCGCUAAAAUUGUUCGCGGCCAGGAUGCUUUCCCAUCAUUACUUCCAAUUGGUGAUGAUAAAAUUAUUUUAAUAUAUUUUUAAAAAGCAACUAACACUAUCAAAUCAUACGCUACCUUGCAGACACUAUCUCAAAAUAUGCCAUAGGAGAAAUCUAUUCUCUUUCAAUAGCAAAUGCCAUUAUUCCUCCACCAAACAGAGACUGGGAGAAUACUACUGCAGUCUUCUGGUUUGAUAGAAGACAAAAGUUUUGGCAAUCAUGAUCCUACGUGGACAACACGGAUGCAAUCAAAGAAUGCAUUGCUGUGAUCUUUCUGUGCCUUUUCUUUACUUAUUUUAACACAAUCACUUAAACAAUUAUUUUGGAAUAUGGUCCCUGCACUUGUAAUGCAAAUUACCCAACACGAUAAUAUUAUUCCCACCUGUCCAUCCAUGGAGUUUUUUAAUCGUAUCCUUCAUCCACCAAGAAUCUUGAGAGAGAGAAAAAUAAUAGCGAUGGAAGAAAAAACUCAACAUGUAAUUUUAUACACGCAUGGCACAGGUCAACCAAGAUUCAAAGGUCAUGCCUUGCCAAAAACCUCAUGAUUUCAGUUCAGAAGAAAACAACAAUACUCCAGGGGAUGAUUAAUUUCUCCUGCAGACCAGGAUAUUGUAAGAACUGACAGAAACAAAUUUACGAGCCUUUGACAAUGCAGAGCUCCCUGUGCAUCGCGCGUAAAGAAGGAGAUUUGAUGGUAUGGCAGCAUGGACAUGCAUGGAUUCUGCAGAUGGUGCUUGGUGGUCAAGAUCUAAUUAAACUUAGGCUGGCCAUCCAAUAGAAAAGUUGAUUGAUCACAUCAAAGAGGUCCUGAUCACAGCAAAAUAAGAUAGACAGUUGCGUCUGAAGAGGUGUAGAAUACUAUGGUCUUCCAUUCAUGACUGGAUUUCUUUGGGUUUCAGCUAUGGUGAUGUUUCCCAUGAAAUUCAUGUCGUUAAUUUGCUGUUGGUUCGAAAGGAGAUUAGGAGCGUUCUUGGCACUUCUUUGAACUGAUUUUAUUUUGUUUGUAGAAAUUCAUCUCUCUAGCUCUCUCAGCCUAGCCUCUGUUUAACAUGAUCCGCGGAAAGUAGUCGUAAUUCUAAAAUUAUUUUUAAAAUUAUCAGCAGUAUGUGUAGACUAAUACGGGGAUUAUUGUAUAAUUUUUCAUUUUCAUUUCGUGAACAUUUUGUGUGACAAUCAACAUUAAUCAAGAUGGAAUAUUCAAUUGCGUCACAGAAGGAGUACGUGGAGACUAAUUUAAAUUGUCGUUCUAGAAUACUUGUGUUGGGGUUUCAACUACGGACCCAUUCUCUGAUUAUUUUUGUUUAUGAAAUAUAAGAAAUAUAUUAUUUUGCACCAUUAUGUGCUUAAUAAAAUUAUUAUAUUCCAUGAUUAAAAAAAAUACGAGACUGUGCAUUGGGUGAUCAUCCUUCAAGGAUUUUUUAUAUUAUUUUCUUGUUGUUUCUCCUAGUUUUUCAUUGCUUGUGUUAAACAACAAAUCUAACUCUCUUUAAUCUUUAUCUCCCUUAAUUACCCUAAUUAUUUUAGGUUUUAUCUAUGAUGUGAAAUGCGAAAUUUACAAUUAAUGAUAGCUAGCUGAUUGGUAAGAGAUGAAGACUAUUUGUAUAAUGCCAAUCAUUGACUUGGAUGUUAAGAGGGUUUUUCUCCUAGUUUUUCAAUUAAUAAUAGCUAGCUUGUACCCCACCGUUCCAUGACUCCUGAUUAUUAAGAGAUGAAGACUAUUUGUAUCCUCCCAAUCCUUGACUUGGAUGUUAAAAGCGUUAUUACUUUUAUAUUUUAAAAGUGUUUUAAGAAAAAUUAUUAUUAUUAUUUAUAUUUUUAGAUUGAUUUGAUGUGUUGAUAUUAAAAAUAAAUUUUAAAAUAUAAAAUAAUAUUAUUUUAAUGUAUUUCAAAACAAAAAAAGCACUUCAAAAAAAAUCAUUGUCACAAUCACUACAACAUUUAAUAAUUUUAUUGGCAGAAUUUUUUUGUCGGCGUGAGAUUUACGAUUCCGUCGGUGAAAGUUUUACUAACUAAUUUAUUGAUGGAAUCCGUCCGUUGAAAUAACAUUUGUUGAUAGUUUCAUUAUUUAUCACUAAUUAUGGUGGUAAAAAAACCGAUAGUUUUACGUACAGAAAAUAAUAGUUAAAAAAAUAAAAUUCGCUUAAUUUCACCAGUAUUUCCCUUGAAAAAAUUGACAUAUAACAAAAAAAAUUGGAAUGACAAUAUUUACAUGCAUGGUUAGCCUUCAGACGAGAGCCAUGGAUGAAAACUUGUAGAAAGAAAAUUAGGAGCAUUGGCCACCAGUGAGCUGUAGAUAUUCAAGUCAAUCACAAGUCAUCCCACUACAAGACUUUAGGAUAGGACCAAUAAUUGAAACCAAUAAAGGUUCUGUUGGCAAUUAAAUAUAUAUUGAUGGUAUAAUUUUACGAUUCAACUCACGAUGUUGAACACCAUUGAUUUUGUUGGCAAAAGAAAAGGCAAAGAAACAGCUCUUAAAGAAAAAAGCAAAUCAAGUACGUCAUAAAUGAUACUAGGCAGAUGAAGUCAAGAUCUGGUUCUGUUGGCAAAAGAAAAGGCAAAGCAAAGCAGAACAAUCCAACAAACUUACAGCUCAGAGAGUGAUUUGUGACUAUUAGUCUGGCUGCCAUUCUACAGCCAUUGGUGAAAACAAUCAGGCAGAAAAUAGACUGCUCUGGCGCCCUUUUCUUCUUCUUUUAAUUUUAUUAUUAUUUCUUUCUUCUUCUUCUUUUUUUACAUUAGGGCAAUUUUCUUAGAAUCUCUGACAAUUAUGUUUCCGGAACAGUUUGUAGGAUAUGAACCUAACCCCACAAAUUGAGGUGACUUAAAAAUAACAUUCGUAUGCUCAAAAUGAAAAAAGAAAAAGAAAAACGAGAGUAAAGAUGCAAUACUUUUCAUCGGUUUUCCUUUGUGUGUAUAUUCAUUUCCAUCUUGCAUGGGAGAUCUAUAACUGAUAAAUCGGUGUAGAGGUAUUCUCAAUACUCGUCAAGUGACUUGUUGAAGAUUUUACUUGAGGUUUUUCCAAAAGUAUAUGUUCAUGUUAAGCAGUUUCAAUUUCCUUGUUCACUUUUUUCAAAUUCCUUGUUCUAAGCAGUUUCAAUUUCCUUGUUCACUUUUUUCAAAUUCCUUGUUCACAGUUUCCCAGAUCGAUUCAGCAAAAACAUUCAGUUCCUGUAUGUCACCCAUAGUGUACGCAUCCUGCGGCUGUUUCUGGGAACAUAAAUUCAACUUGUAGAUCCAGUGGAUGAGGUUUUGAGGUCUGGUGGUCGUUAUACUCUGAACUACCACAGUUUGUUCUAUUUCCAGAAAUUUUAUUCUUCAAUAUAAACAUAAUCAUAUUGUGUUAGUAUUUGGCUUUGUAUAUCAUAAUAAAAAGUUCUUAGUUUAUUGUAAAAUAAUUAUUCAAUUUAAAAAUUUAAACUCUAACAUCAAUUUAAACAACCAUUCAACCUAAAAAUAUCCCUUAAACUACAAGUAAAAGCAGAAACAAAUCAAAUAAUAAUAAUAAUAAUAAUAAUAAUAAUCUCUCGAAUUAAAUCAAUUAAUACCAAUUCCUAUGUUUCAAAUCAACUGCCACAACGUUCCUAUUCGUCUUGAAAAUUGCUUUCUACGGGAACAGCCUUUUUAUCCACAACAGACGCUUCAUGAGGGUCUCGUAACUUCUGCUUUGCUUCAAGUAGUCCAUUAUUAUUAGACUUCAGUUUUUGAAUCCCCACUUCACUGGGAUUUUUUCAGCUGUUAUAUUCGACUAGGGUUCUGUUGGAGUUUGCCUGAGGGCUAAGGUAAGGUAUACGAGAACAUCUUUCUUUAGUUGUUGCGAAGGGCUUUGGAUGUUCUUUUUUUUGGAGUUUCUUGAUCUUGGAAAGAUACUAACGGAUUUUCUCAGAGAAGCAGGGAUUGGCAACAAGGGUGUUCUAGAGUGUUGUAGAUUCUUAUCCAAGACUUGUAUCAUUUGAUGAUGUCAUGUGAAUUACUAGAAAUAUGUAAAGUGUAUGGCUAACCCAAUAAUGAAAGUUUCGUAAGGAACUGAAGCAGGCAACCAUGAGGCAAGAUCUAUUAGAUUUUUUGAAGCCCAGAGGGAAAGAUACAGAGACGCUCUGUUUUUGUUUGAUAAACAUAGACUUUUUUUUACUGUAGGUUUGGCCUUGUCUCAAUUCAGGAAAUCCCACUUAUAAUUCAGCAUAAUCGCGUAAACCCUUGAAAACUUUUGAAAAUUACAAAAUGUUUUGAUGCCAAGGCACGUUGGCCUUCCAGGUACAAAAUUAACCUGAACCUUGAAAUAAAAUUAUGCCUACAAUUCUACAACAGAGUUUUUGAACAGAAGCAGCAUUCCUAUCACAGGGCUGGGAAGAAUAGGGGGACGAUCCAUUCAAGAGUUAAGACCUUGCAGUUUUGAAUUUUUAAUACGAGGUUUUUUAGAUUCAAAUCCUGGAAAAGUUCGAGGGGGUAGAGAUUUGAGAUUAGAGGAUAUGGCUUUGUCCUAUUUUUAAUACGAGGUUUUUGCAACGUGUGAUUUAAAGAUUUGUGUUAGGUAUUACUUAUUUGUUUGUUUCUAAGAGGGAAGCCCUCUUUAGACCCGGAGGAUUAAGUAUGGAAUUUCAACGUGACAAAUGACGUUAUUUGAUCUUUCAGGACGAGUUUGGUUUGAUUGUGGAAAUUUUGUUCAUCGUUAUUGUACGGUCUUUGUGUUGGAAUUUGGAUUGUUUAUUACUCUCCAAAGAGAAAAUGUAGUAGGAAGGCAAUUGAUACAAAUGAAGGCAAUAAAUUACAUGAUUCAUGACAUUCACCAAGUUCAUCUAAAAUGAUGCUUUGGACGGAAUAUAUAACAUAGACUUGAUUAUUGAAUAUUACAUUUUGCCAAACAAGUUGCUUUUCACAAACGCCCAAGUAUACUGUAAAAAUUCAGCCAAUAACAUUUCUGCGUACCAUUAUAUCUUCCAAUUCCAUCUUGGAGAAUAGCUUUGGCAAUGGAGGCCAUCGAGUUGUAAGCUCUGUAGAAACCUGUCGCAUUGUUGGCCGAUAGUGAGGAUCGGUCUGCAAGCAAGCAAACGCCAGUUUUGCAACAUGUGCCACACCGUCAGCAAGCUCAUUUUCAGGAGGUGGGAGGCGCUGGUCUAAGACAUCCUUCAAGACUGUAUUGUGACCAAUUGGUGAUGAUGAGGAGGUGGAGGCAGAUAACAUCAGAGAUGAGAUGAAAUCUCCAGGAUGCUUUCCCAUCAUUACUUCCAAUGUUAAUACUCCAAAGCUAUACAUAUCACAUUUUUC